GCAUCGGUGGUUUAGUGGUAAAAUUAGCCGUUGCCAUCUGAUCCAGUUCUUCUGAGUUAUUUGCAGUAGUUUCGGCUAGCCCCGGGUUCGAUUCCCGGCCGAUGCA